rnacentral:lncRNA from 1 species
ACUUCUGUUUGAGAGAGCUACCUUUCUGGUGAUUUCUCACUAUCAGUGUAAAGAACAGCGAGAUGCCCACCGAUUUGAGAAAAUCAGCAACAUUAUUAAGCAGUUCAAGCUGAGCUGUAGCAAGCUGGCUGCCUCUUUCCAGAGUAUGGAAGUCAGGAAUUCUAACUUUGCUGCUUUCAUUGACAUAUUCACAUCCAACACUUACGUCAUGGUCGUGAUGUCUGAUCCAUCCAUUCAACCCAUCUUCUUCAGCCUUCUAACAUAAACUGAAGACUAGCACUCUCCAAGAAUCCUCCAGGCUUCAGCACCAGAUUGGAACUGCUGCGACAUCCAGCCUUGUUGACUGAGCAACUACAGGAUUCUCUAUCUCUCCAGCAUCCAGACAGCCACUGUUGGACUAACUGCCCCGUAUCAUGUAAGCCAAUUUAAUAAAUCUCUGUUCACAAUAUAUACUCAUUCUAUUGGUUCUGUUCUAGAGCAGUGGUUCUCCACCUUCUUAAUGCUGUGACCCUUUAAUACAGUUCCUCAAGUUGUAACAUAACAUUAUUUUGUUGCUACUUCAUAACAGUAAUUUCCAUACCCUUAUGAAUCACAAUGUAAGUAUCUGAUACAUAGAAUAUCUGAUAUUCAACCUGCAAAGAGACCGUGACUCAUAGAUUGAGAGCUCCUGCUUUAGAGAAUCCUUCCUAAUAUACAGAGUCAUACCUGUCAUAUAAUUAUAUAGCCCUUAGUGAAACUGAUUAAAAUUUAUCUUUGGCUGUGUAAUAUCAGAGACUUUCAAUAAAUCUUUAUUG